UCCGGCUUGACGCCGGCGGUCUCGCUAGAGUGCCCAACUGAAUGAUGGCAACUAACGACGAGGGUUGCGCUCGUUGCGGAACUUAAUCCAACACCUCACGGCACGAGCUGACGACAACCAUGCACCACCUGUCUCCAGUGCCCGAAGGGGCCUCUAGUUUCCUAAAGGUUACACUGGGAAGUCAAGUCUUGGUAAGGUUUUUGGCGUAGCAUCCAAUUGAACCACAUGCUCCACUGCUUGUGCGGGCCCCCGUCAAUUCCUUUGAGUUUCAACCUUGCGGCCGUACUCCCCAGGCGGGGCACUUAAUGCGUUAGCGGCGGCGCCAAGGGGGUCGAAGCCCCUGACACCUAGUGCCCAUCGUUUACCGCCAGGACUAC
rnacentral:misc_RNA from 1 species